UAUCGCUUUCUUAGCUGGAAGACCUCGAUAGGAGGCAUUUGUUUUCUUUUGUUUAUUUACUUCUGAGCCCCUUGUUGGCACGUUUACUUUAUACAUGUUUGUUUUGUAUGUGUUCGUAUCCCCACAGGUAGCGCGGUUCCUUUGUCAAGGACUGCCUUUUUGCAUGAGCAUCCCAAACCCUAACCCUUCAUUGAUUCUUCUUCUCCUAAACACACGUUUACUCCUUCUACUACAGGUGAGUAAGUCUCCAAAGGUCGAGCAUCCGGUAGAUUGCGUAGUAACGUCGUUAGUCCAAAACCCACCCCAUAACCCCGUAGUUAGCCGAACUACGGCUUGCUCCGAUUCUCAUUCCAGAUGAGAUACGUAGGCAUAAGACGCGAUGUCUUAGCGAG
rnacentral:lncRNA from 1 species